ACUUAGCUCAGUGGUAGAGCAAUCGGCUGUUAACCGAUUGGUCGCUGGUUCGAGCCCAGCAG
rnacentral:tRNA from 3 species